rnacentral:rRNA from 1 species
GACGAACGCUGGCGGCGUGCUUAACACAUGCAAGUCGAACGCUGAAGCCCUUUCGGGGGUGGAUGAGUGGCGAACGGGUGAGUAACACGUGGGUAAUCUGCCCUGCACUCUGGGAUAAGCCUUGGAAACGGGGUCUAAUACCGGAUAGGACACAUCGCCGCAUGGUGUGUGUGUGGAAAGUUCCGGCGGUGCAGGUUGAGCCCGCGGCCUAUCAGCUUGUUGGUGGGGUGAUGGCCUACCAAGGCGACGACGGGUAGCCGGCCUGAGAGGGUGACCGGCCACACUGGGACUGAGACACGGCCCAGACUCCUACGGGAGGCAGCAGUGGGGAAUCUUGCGCAAUGGGCGAAAGCCUGACGCAGCAACGCCGCGUGGGGGAUGACGGCCUUCGGGUUGUAAACCUCUUUCGACCGGGACGAGGGGUGACUGACGGUACCGGUAGAAGAAGCACCGGCUAACUACGUGCCAGCCGCCGCGGUAA